UACGAAGGGGGCUAGCGUUGCUCGGAAUCACUGGGCGUAAAGCGUACGUAGGCGGGUUGUUAAGUCAGGGGUGAAAUCCUGGAGCUCAACUCCAGAACUGCCUUUGAUACUGGCGAUCUCGAGUCCGGGAGAGGUGAGUGGAACUGCGAGUGUAGAGGUGAAAUUCGUAGAUAUUCGCAAGAACACCAGUGGCGAAGGCGGCUCACUGGCCCGAUACUGACGCUGAGGUGCGAAAGCGUGGGGAGCAAACAGG
rnacentral:rRNA from 1 species